rnacentral:rRNA from 1 species
AAGCGCUUGUGACCAGACUUGGGCGUGGUGAAUCAUCCGGCGUUUUCGCCGGUGCACUUUGCCUGUCCAGGCCAGCAUCAGUUCGCCGCGGGGGAUAAAGGCCUCGGGAAUGUAGCUCCCUCGGGAGUGUUAUAGACCGUGGUGCAAUACCCUGGGGUGGACUGAGGUUCGCGCUCCGCAAGGAUGCUGGCGUAAUGGUCAUCAGCGA